CUCCUUCCCUCCCUCUCUCUCUCUGAAAUAUUGAUGGCCCAAUAUUCAAGUCUUUUUGUUACUUCCUUCAGUGUCUCAUGCUUCCUUUUGGGGGGUACAUACUUAUUCCUCCUCCUACCUCUAGUCCACCUUCAUGAAGUUCUGUGAUAAAAGGAUAGACAUGGUUUCUAGGUUAUAAUCCAUGUCUGGGGAAGGAUGCAAUGCUCUUUCGAGAAAUAAAAGAGUCUGAGUGAAAGCCAGGAGAGUCUGAACCACAAGAUGGAUCUCAGGUUAUUUACUUUGCAAUAUUUACCAGGAUCUACCAGGACAACUGAGAAGAAGUACUCGAGAAGUAACUGAGCCAUUCAUUAUGAGAGGGCCAGGCCUGAUCAAGAGCAGACAAGCAGCAAAGCCC
rnacentral:lncRNA from 1 species